rnacentral:rRNA from 1 species
GGGCCCGCACAAGCGGUGGAGCAUGUGGUUUAAUUCGAUGCAACGCGAAAAACCUUACCUACUCUUGACAUACUUGGAAGCUCUUGUAAUGAGAGUGUACCUUUUUGGAACCAAGAUACAGGUGCUGCAUGGCUGUCGUCAGCUCGUGUCGUGAGAUGUUCCGUUAAGUCGGAUAACGAGCGCAACCUUCACCCUUAUUUGCCAGCGAUUCGGUCGGGAACUAUAAGGGGACUGCCGGUGAUAAACCGGAGGAAGGUGAGGACGACGUCAAGUCAUCAUGGCCCUUACGAGUAGGCUACACACGUGCUACAAUGGGGAAUACAGACGGACGCUAAGCCGCGAGGUGGUGCU